ACUUAAAUUGAAGAGUUUGAUCAUGGCUCAGAUUGAACGCUGGCGGCAGGCCUAACACAUGCAAGUCGAGCGGUAGCACAGAGAGCUUGCUCUCGGGUGACGAGCGGCGGACGGGUGAGUAAUGUCUGGGAAACUGCCUGAUGGAGGGGGAUAACUACUGGAAACGGUAGCUAAUACCGCAUAACGUCGCAAGACCAAAGUGGGGGACCUUCGGGCCUCAUGCCAUCAGAUGUGCCCAGAUGGGAUUAGCUAGUAGGUGGGGUAACGGCUCACCUAGGCGACGAUCCCUAGCUGGUCUGAGAGGAUGACCAGC
rnacentral:rRNA from 1 species